CCCAUGAGACUAUGAUGCAAUGCC
rnacentral:siRNA from 1 species